rnacentral:pre_miRNA from 1 species
UUGACAAUUUGGGAUUUUGUGGACCAGAAGUGUUAGAAGUGUAUCCAACUACUGGCCUACUAAGUCCCAACUUGACGG